UACGGAGGGUGCAAGCGUUAUCCGGAUUCACUGGGUUUAAAGGGGGCGUAGGUGGGAUGGUAAGUCAGUGGUGAAAUCUCCGGGCUUAACUCGGAAACUGCCGUUGAUACUAUCAUUCUUGAAUAUUGUGGAGGUAAGCGGAAUAUGUCAUGUAGCGGUGAAAUGCUUAGAUAUGACAUAGAACACCAAUAGCGAAGGCAGCUUGCUACACAAUUAUUGACACUGAGGCUCGAAAGCGUGGGGAGCAAACAGG
rnacentral:rRNA from 1 species